rnacentral:rRNA from 1 species
GACGAACGCUGGCGGCGUGCCUAACACAUGCAAGUCGAGCGGAGAAAUUAAAGCUUGCUUUAAUUUCUUAGCGGCGGACGGGUGAGUAACACGUGGGCAACCUGCCCUUGAGAGGGGGAUAACACAGAGAAAUUUGUGCUAAUACCGCAUAACAUUUAGACUUCGCCUGGAGUUUAAAUCAAAGGAGUAAUCCGCUCAAGGAUGGGCCCGCGGCGCAUUAGCUAGUUGGUGAGGUAAUGGCUCACCAAGGCGACGAUGCGUAGCCGACCUGAGAGGGUGAUCGGCCACAUUGGAACUGAGACACGGUCCAGACUCCUACGGGAGGCAGCAGUGGGGAAUAUUGCGCAAUGGGGGAAACCCUGACGCAGCAACGCCGCGUGAGCGAUGAAGGCCUUCGGGUUGUAAAGCUCUGUCUUUGGGGACGAUAAUGACGGUACCCAAGGAGGAAGCCACGGCUAACUACGUGCCAGCCGCCGCAGUAAAAC